GCCAGACUCCUACGGGAGGCAGCAGUGGGGAAUAUUGCACAAUGGGGGAAACCCUGAUGCAGCAACGCCGCGUGAGUGAGGAAGUAUUUCGGUAUGUAAAGCUCUAUCAGCAGGGAAGAAGAUGACGGUACCUGACUAAGAAGCCCCGGCUAACUACGUGCCAGCAGCCGCGGUAAUACGUAGGGGGCAAGCGUUAUCCGGAUUUACUGGGUGUAAAGGGAGCGUAGACGGCGAUGCAAGCCAGGAGUGAAAGCCCGGGGCCCAACCCCGGGACUGCUCUUGGAACUGCGCGGCUGGAGUGCAGGAGGGGCAGGCGGAAUUCCUGGUGUAGCGGUGGAAUGCGUAGAUAUCAGGAGGAACACCGGUGGCGAAGGCGGCCUGCUGGACUGCGACUGACGUUGAGGCCCGAAAGCGUGGGGAGCAAACAGGAUUAGAUACCCCAGUAC
rnacentral:rRNA from 1 species